UGUACCACUCUCAACUGUCUUUUUUCCUACUUUUUACUGCAACAUUUAAUGUUAAUUCAACAUCCUGUAACCUAACAAAAACUCCUCAACCGCCUCAGCCUCACCUGAACGGCAGCAGUCGCGGGUUUCAUUCCCAUUCGGUAUGGAUAUGUGCACAGUAAAAAUAGCGUAAAAACGAAACACAUUCUGAGACAUUCUUAACUGAGAAAAUUUCUGGGUGAGAGUGAGUGGAGGUGAGAUGAACACUUACCUUGUAGCAGUCCCAUCUGUAAGCGCUGGGUUGCAGCGAGGAGACCAGCAACAUCAGCGUUUUGAAAAUGAAUUGCAGUGGGUGUCAUCAAGAAAGUCCACAAUGGCAGCGUUACUAACGACCACACUCCAAGGGGUGAUAGAAAGGUCCCUGGAGAGGCAAAACUAGUACUCAGUAUAGUGUACGUGGCAGUACAGGUCUGUGUAGGUACUCCUAAUCAAUAUUAAUAUAAUCCACUACACAUUUUAUACAUCGUGUUGUUUUAUAUUCGAAUAUUAAAAUACUUCAAAGAAUACAACAUAACUGCCUUCAUACGUCAAGCUUUCAAUGUAACGUCACGAUUUUUGUCACAAGUUACGUGGUAACGUUGUAUAUUCACAUUAGAAAAUUGUUUAAGAUGAAAAAAAAAACGGUUCACUUCAUCUAUUAAAGAAUCAUUUGAAUUUAAUGGAAUGGAUGUGUCAAACUUUCAAUUAUUGUUUUCAAAGUGGAACGGAA
rnacentral:misc_RNA from 1 species